rnacentral:rRNA from 1 species
AGCAGCCGCGGUAAUUCCAGCUCCAAUAGCGUAUAUUAAAGUUGUUGCAGUUAAAAAGCUCGUAGUUGAAUUUCGGGAUCAAUAUUUCGGUCAUGCCGUUGGUAUGCACUGUUAUCAUUGAUUUCUCACCUUCUAAAGAACCGUAAUGCCAUUAAUUUGGUGUUACGGGGAAUUAGGACCGUUACCUUGAAAAAAUUAGAGUGUUUAAAGCAGGCUCACGCUUGAAUACAUUAGCAUGGAAUAAUGAAAUAGGACAUCCGAUUCUAUUUUGUUGGUUUCUAGGAUCGAUGUAAUGAUUAAUAGGGAUAGUUGGGGGCAUUAGUAUUCAAUUGUCAGAGGUGAAAUUCUUGGAUUUAUUGAAGACUAACUACUGCGAAAGCAUUUGCCAAGGAUGUUUUCAUUAAUCAAGAGCGAAAGUUAGGGGAUCGAAGACGAUCAGAUACCGUCGUAGUCUUAACCAUAAACCUACGCCGACUAGGGAUCGGAUGGUGUUAAUUUUUAAUGACUCAUUCGGCGCUUA